rnacentral:rRNA from 1 species
CACAGCCGCGGUAAUACAGAGGGUGCGAGCGUUAAUCGGAUUUACUGGGCGUAAAGCGUGCGUAGGCGGCUUCUUAAGUCGGAUGUGAAAUCCCUGAGCUUAACUUAGGAAUUGCAUUCGAUACUGGGAAGCUAGAGUAUGGGAGAGGAUGGUAGAAUUCCAGGUGUAGCGGUGAAAUGCGUAGAGAUCUGGAGGAAUACCGAUGGCGAAGGCAGCCAUCUGGCCUAAUACUGACGCUGAGGUACGAAAGCAUGGGGAGCAAACAGGAUUAGAUACCCCCGUAGUCCCUGUCUCUUAUACC